rnacentral:lncRNA from 1 species
UGGUGAACAAAUGAGUUUUAUUAGGGCUAUUUAUAAGAAUAUGGGUAAAGUGUUACUUACAGUAGCAGAAAUAACUCCAAGAUAGCUAUCCUACCAAAGGCCACCCUUGCAUGGAUGACAGCUCACAGAAGCUGGGAACCUUCAUAAUACUGCACAGCCUGCAGUUUGCAUAUCAGGCUGGAGAAUGUCCUUUCUAUAUAGGUUAUAGUGAUUUAUUUUUACAGGCAGCAUGGCUAAUUUCUGUUUCUUCCAGGCUGCUCAGCUUGAGAGUAUCUCUCAGUAGUCCUUACUACUAGUACAUGCUUGGAAAAGAAGGAAUCUAGUGAAUCUUGUCUAUUUCAAGAACCUCCUGAUACCACUCAGUUGUUUACUUCUUGAGCUUAGGGAGCUUCCCUGUAGGACAGAAUAUUUCACCUCCCAGUAAACAACAUGUUACUUAAAGAACUCCUGUAGGACAUCUUUUGUCUUACCAGCUGAUAUGCCCAGCCAUUGCUCCUAGGAGCUAAUGAGUGUAUUGUUCAUGUCCAGAAAACUCCUUUCCAUUCUCCAGCAUAUAGUCUUUAACCCUCUCUUCCUUGAUGUUUCCUGGGCCUUGGAAAGAAGGACACCAAUUUCCAGUUUAAGGCUGAGAACUGAAGAGCUGCUUAUUCUCAGCACCUGACCCAUCAUAAGUCUCUGCAUUAUCCACUGCCAAAUGGGUGGGGGAGGAUGAAAGGCCAAGGCUGAGAGGAGCAUCAACAUAUGGGUAUAAACAUUCAGAAGGCAGAUUAAUAACAGCUUCAUUUAGCACAGCCACAGUAGUAGGACACUCCCCUCCCCCAGAGCCUAUACUCCAGAGCCUAUAGUUUUUCUUAAUUUUUCUGAGUCUGUUAGCAGGACAGACAAUAUAGACAUCCUUUUUCAGGCUCUUCCUACUUUAUGUCCUCCCAAAUUUUCAUCUUUCUCUUCUGCUUUAAUAGGGCUCUAGGAACAUAUAGUCACUAGAAGAGUGUUGUGAGAGACUGCAAGUAGCUAUAACAAUAUUAAACAUAUAAAAAGAAGCCAGUUGGCAGAAAAAGACUUCCUCAUGGUUCUUUAUAUAACAUAUAUGAAGCAUACUCAAAAGAAGCCCUCACAAGCAGCUUAGGAAAAGCAGGUACCAUAAAUAUGUCAUGUUAAGGGCCAUAGGGCUCUUGGCCUGCGCUUUUGGAUCAGACUUCAUUUUUCUAGGCUCUCUUCCUUUCUUUCUCGUGUGUGUGUUUGUGUGUCUGUGUGUAUGUGACCCUAUAUCCCUGACUAGUUUGAAACUAUCUAUGUAGACCCAGCUGGGCUCAACUCAGGCUGCUUUUGAUUCCCGCAAACUUUGGAAUUAAAGGUGUGGAUCACUAAGCCUGGCCUCAAUUUUCCUUUAGCUAUUAUUAUUUUGUAUAAUGUGGUUGAAAGCGUGGGUGGUCAUGUGACGGCUACAGGACAACCUGUGGGGGUUUGGCACGCUGGGUCUUGAACUGAGGUUGAUAUAUCAGAUUUGGAGGCAAGCUCCUUUAUCCUCUGAGCCAUCUCAUCCACCCUACUUUCUUUUUUGUAAUAAACUGUAAUACAUCUAAUGACGUGUUUCUCGACUAAUUCUGUGACUAGAGGCACAAGUACUUAGAUACUUAAGUGGGUGCAUCAGGGCUCACAAACCUAACAAGAGCCAACACUGGGUGACACGUACGCUCUGAAAGGUCUGUCCCAUAUCCACACAGUCCGGGCACGAUCCUUGUCGUUGUUCUGGUUGUCGCCUUAAACAAGGCUAGUGGCCAGGCUGCAGAGUUUUUAAAUCGACUGGAGUAAAACCACUCUUGGGGUAGAAAAACGUAAACUCCGUCGGUAAACUGAAGCGCCCGAAGCCGGAGGACACUGUGGUGGAAGAAAACAGAAGUGACAUCAGCCGCCCUCCGCGGUCUCUUACACUUCCCGGCUCUGGGUCGUGGAGUUCUUUUUCCAUCUCGGUGGUCAUCAAGCUGGAUGAGACGCUGGCGAUACCAACUAAGUAAAUUCUUUCCCUGAACGUCUUCCAAACGGUCGGAUCAGGAGUCGGAACCGGUCCGGUA